CAGUCGCCACGGGAAUACGUAGGCGACAAGCGUUGUCCGGAAUUAUUGGGCGUAAAGGGAGCGCAGGUGGGACGGUAAGUCCGUCUUAAAAGGCAGGGGCUCAGCCCCUGUAAGGGAUGGAAACUAUCGAUCUUGAGUGCCGGAGAGGAAAGCGGAAUUCCCAGUGUAGCGGUGAAAUGCGUAGAUAUUGGGAAGAACACCAGUGGCGAAGGCGGCUUUCUGGACGGCAACUGACACUGAGGCUCGAAAGCCAGGGGAGCGAACGGGAUUAGAUACCCGAGUAGUCCCUGUCUCUUAUACA
rnacentral:rRNA from 1 species